UUUGAAUUCAGGAAAUAUGAAGAGGGCUGUGCUACUCUAGAACAAAAAAGGAAGAGUCAUCUCAAAGUGCAAGCAAUGAACUUUUGAAAUGCAAAUGGAGACACGGGACAAAAAAUACAGACAUGGACAAGAUGUUCCCAAGAAAGAAAUCUGUUUCUGUGUCAUACCCAGGCUAUUGAGAGAACCCCAAUCAGCUUCUUUAACCUCCUAUUUUGCCAAGUCUCUGCUGGUUCACAGGAAAGACAGGAAGGAAGGAAAUGAAUCAGACAAGAGGGACCAGCGCCUCAUCACCCUCCCCUCACUCCACCCCUUUUGCCAAGGAAGAAGGCCCCCUUCCCAAACACACACACAUACACCUUCGCCAGUCUCCACCAAUGGGUUUGAUUUUGCAAAUGUGUCUUCUGCAGCCUGAGUCAUCAGCCAUGAUCACUUCACAGCAACGCAACCACAGAAUCCCCUUCCAAACGCAAGCG